rnacentral:lncRNA from 1 species
AUGAAACAGUGCCACUUUCAAAGAACGAAAGAAAGAAAGAAAGAAAAAAAAGGAAUAUCAUUGACUAAAAAAACCAAACCAAGAAACAAAGUUAUGAUCAAAAUGAAGAAAAAAAAAAGUGUUUCUGUCAGUGUAUCAGUAGACUUAUUAGACACCAUAUCUGUAGGGAACGAAAAUGUCAGCUGAUAGAUCAGUUGCUAGACUAGUUGGUAAAUAAUGGAACAGGUCAUCAUGAUGCACAAAGAAAUAUUCCUUUAGAUGCUCUACUUGAUAGGCAUGUACAUGGGAAUUAAAAAAUAAAGUUGGCAAUUUUUGGCAUAUGAAGCCCACCUUAUUUUUUUCGCUGCUGAAGGCAAUGGCCUCAAUUAGACCGAAAACAGGAUCAAUAUCAUUAUUGUGAACAACAAGGACCAUUUUUGGAUUGUACCUGGUUCCACUGAUUUCAGCCCAUGCAACAAAUUCAUAAGAAUCAACAAAAUUGGCAGGAAGAUCUAAACAUGGAACAGGCAAGUCAUCUGCGUGAAUUUCAGUGCUAGAUCCUAUUUCAAGUCUGUCUUUCAGAACAUCCCCCGAUUGUAGGUAGGAAUGCAGCAAUAACUGAUUUCGAGUUAGGACAGUUUUUGGAAGAUUUCUUCGCGAGGCAACACUUACUGCCACUUGCUUCCCCCGCUGAUGAAAGGCUUCAUAUCUCAUUGCACUAUAUUUUAUGGGAGGCCCGUAUUUUAAUAUUAAGUUAGGGUAAUGCAGCAAAUGGUGAUGCUUAUUACGCAAACGUUUUUCUUCGCUAAAUUGGAUAUAGAGUGAGUGAUGUUCUUCAAUUAAACUUUGUAAAUUUUCCAAACUUUCAAGAUGUAUGCGUGGUGAAAAUAAAAUAUCCAUAAUUUUCCUUAAAAGAACAUACAUCUUCCAUACUGGAUCAUUUUCUGGGAAGAAACGACCCAUUAUGAUUCCAAAGAAUACAGUGAAGUUAAGCAUUUCUGCAGCUGACAUUUUGAUAGAUGGCUGUUGAUUAGUACCAACUAUUGGGGGAGGUUUAUUUUUCAUUACACCGUAGUUUUGAUCUCUAAUUAUCCGAUUUAAAUAAGGAAGACUAGUAUAGCCAUGUCUCAUGGAAAUUUCAGAAUUAAUUCUAAAGUGAAAGUGGCAACACCUGACUCGAGGAAGUCAUGCAUCAAAUCAGGAGGAACAUUUUCUAUAACAUGAAAGUAAGGAAGCUCAUUCCACAGUGAAUUCUCAUUUAUACCGGUCUCAGAAGGAUUGUUUUUUUCAAUAUCAGUGCGGUAAUUUUCAAUAGUUCUUAAUUCAUAUUGAGUAAGGUCGAGUUUCUUUGAAAUCAGCAAUUUCUCACGAGGAAUGCGACAAUACCUACAAGGAAAAUUAGCUGUAAAACACUCAAUGAAACCACAUAUUUGAUGAACCCCAAGGUUGUCUCCUAGUAUUAAACCCAGGACAAAUUUAAUUUUCCCUUUAAAAUUUGGAGUGUCAAUGCUAAUUCCUUCUUCGCCUAAAAAUUUAAAUUCUUCUACAACAGACCGAUACAGAAUACUAUUUGGAACUACUUUCCUGUCUUCAGCAUGGUAAAUGGCAAGCAAAAACAUAUUAUUCAGCAUGGAAUUAAACUCAAGAGGUAACACUGGUAUUGAUACGUAAUUUCCACAAAGUUUAUGAACACCUUUAUGUGACCCUAAAACAUUCCCACACUCAUAGUCAUCCGCAUAAAAAAAAAGUGGCCAAAUCAAAGUGUCAUCUUGAGCAGUCGCAAUUUUCCCUAUAGUACUUCGCCAAAGUGUUCCAUGUACAAAGUCAGUCAUGAAGCCAUCUGUUUCAGAGACAACCCUCCGUAAGUGAUUAUUAAUUCUGUCAAUGACGCCUGGCUGCUGCAAAAACUGCCUGAGAACUAACCUCAGUGGAACAAAUUGAAGAGAGCGAUCUGCCAGUUCUAGAAAAUGUUGAGAGUCUUUGCUCCUUUGUGGGAUGAGCUCUGAGUAGAGAGACUUUGGCACGGGUGGAAUGUAUGUUGCUUGAGACUCAAAAAAUUUUAGUCGCUGAUAUUCAGUCAUUAAAUCUUGGAAAGGAUUUUUGAGAAUCAAGCAGUAAUUCUUAAAAUUCUUAUUCUUUUCAUCAAUGGAUAAAUUUUGAUCACGGAUUAAAUAAGAUACUUUCUCU